rnacentral:rRNA from 1 species
UACAGAGGGUGCGAGCGUUGUCCGGAAUCACUGGGCGUAAAGGGCGCGUAGGCGGCCUGAUAAGUAGGGGGUGAAAUCCUGUGGCUUAACUGCAGGGCUGCCUCCUAGACUGUUAGGCUCGAGCACGGUAGAGGCAGAUGGAAUUCCCGGUGUAGCGGUGGAAUGCGUAGAGAUCGGGAAGAACAUCGGUGGCGAAGGCGGUCUGCUGGGCCGUACCUGACACUGAUGCGCGACAGCAUGGGGAGCAAACAGG